rnacentral:rRNA from 1 species
GAUGAACGCUGGCGGCGUGCCUAAUACAUGCAAGUCGAGCGAAUGGAUUAAGAGCUUGCUCUUAUGAAGUUAGCGGCGGACGGGUGAGUAACACGUGGGUAACCUGCCCAUAAGACUGGAUAACUCCGGGAAACCGGGGCUAAUACCGGAUAACAUUUUGAACCGCAUGGUUCGAAAUUGGAAAGCGGCUUCGGCUGUCACUUAUGGAUGGACCCGCGUCGCAUUAGCUAGUUGGUGAGGUAACGGCUCACCAAGGCAACGAUGCGUAGCCGACCUGAGAGGGUGAUCGGCCACACUGGGACUGAGACACGGCCCAGACUCCUACGGGAGGCAGCAGUAGGGAAUCUUCCGCAAUGGACGAAAGUCUGACGGAGCAACGCCGCGUGAGUGAUGAAGGCUUUCGGGUCGUAAAACUCUGUUGUUAGGGAAGAACAAGUGCUAGUUGAAUAAGCUGGCACCUUGACGGUACCUAACCAGAAAGCCACGGCUAACUACGUGCCAGCCGCCGCCGUAA